CCUGUGGAAUGCGCAGAUAUCAGGAGGAACACCGUGGCGAAGGCAGAUCUCGGCCGUAACUGACGCUGAGGAGCGAAAGGGUGGGGAGCAAACAGGCUUAGAUACCCUGGUAGUCCACCCCGUAAACGUUGGGAACUAGUUGUGGGGUCCAUUCCACGGAUUCCGUGACGCAGCUAACGCAUUAAGUUCCCCGCCUGGGGAGUACGGCCGCAAGGCUAAAACUCAAAGGAAUUGACGGGGACCCGCACAAGCGGCGGAGCAUGCGGAUUAAUUCGAUGCAACGCGAAGAACCUUACCAAGGCUUGACAUAUACGAGAACGGGCCAGAAAUGGUCAACUCUUUGGACACUCGUAAACAGGUGGUGCAUGGUUGUCGUCAGCUCGUGUCGUGAGAUGUUGGGUUAAGUCCCGCAACGAGCGCAACCCUCGUUCUAUGUUGCCAGCACGUAAUGGUGGGAACUCAUGGGAUACUGCCGGGGUCAACUCGGAGGAAGGUGGGGAUGACGUCAAAUCAUCAUGCCCCUUAUGUCUUGGGCUUCACGCAUGCUACAAUGGCCGGUACAAAGGGCUGCAAUACCGCGAGGUGGAGCGAAUCCCAAAAAGCCGGUCCCAGUUCGGAUUGAGGUCUGCAACUCGACCUCAUGAAGUCGGAGUCGCUAGUAAUCGCAGAUCAGCAACGCUGCGGUGAAUACGUUCCCGGGUCUUGUACACACCGCCCGUCAAGUCAUGAAAGUCGGUAACACCUGAAGCCGGUGGCCUAACCCU
rnacentral:rRNA from 2 species